GCUGGAAUGGUCUAGUUGGUUAUGACGACUGCCUAACACGCAGUAGGUCCCGAGUUCGAUUCUCGGUUCCAGGA
rnacentral:tRNA from 1 species